rnacentral:rRNA from 1 species
CCUACGGGAGGCAGCAGUGAGGAAUAUUGGUCAAUGGACGAAAGUCUGAACCAGCCAUGCCGCGUGAAGGAUGACGGCCCUAUGGGUUGUAAACUUCUUUUAUACAGGAGUAAAACGAGGCACGUGUGCCUUUUUGCAUGUACUUUAUGAAUAAGGAUCGGCUAACUCCGUGCCAGCAGCCGCGGUAAUACGGAGGAUCCGAGCGUUAUCCGGAUUUAUUGGGUUUAAAGGGAGCGUAGAUGGGUUGUUAAGUCAGUUGUGAAAGUUUGAGGCUCAACCGUAAAAUUGCAAUUGAUACUGGUAGUCUAGAGUAUAGUUGAGGUAGGCGGAAUUCGUGGUGUAGCGGUGAAAUGCUUAGAGAUCACGAAGAAUACCGAUUGCGAAGGCAGCUUACUAAACUGUGACUGACAUUGAUGCUCGAAAGUGUGGGGAGCAAACAGGAUUAGAUACCCGAGUAGUC